rnacentral:lncRNA from 1 species
AUUCUCACUGCAAACAGGAAAAGGAAAGAGAAAAAGCAAGCUCUGUCUCCACACAAGGUUUGCUGGGCUGGCUAUGAACUGUUCCAAGAUCCCUUCAUUCUUCAGCAAUGGAUCAAAGAACUCUGAAAACAAGAACAACCCCGACAGCUGCAAACCACGAGCCCUCACCUCCAGCAGAGGUUUUCGGGAAACUCUGGACGACCACGCGCAUGCAGAGGGCUCUCAGAGCUUCCAGGUCCUGUAAGAAGAGAUGGAGUCAUAGCUGCGCCCUGUCCACUCUCGGGCUGUCACACAAGCCUGGAGCCCAGCCAUUUCUCGGCCUUGUCUUCAUCUUGGGCUAACCGGUCGUCUCCUGCAAACAGACAGCACGGAGAAGGAUGAGUGAACUCGGCCUCUCCCCACAGAAUACAGUUCGCCAUUACAGCGCUGAUUAAAUACAGGACAUUAUCUCACCAUAAUGCCCUCCUGGCGGCGUUCCCAGGAAAAUUCUAACUAAUCAUAAAAAUAGAAAGAAAAACGC